rnacentral:tRNA from 1 species
GCCUGGGUGGCUCAGUCGGUUGAGCGUCCGACUUCGGCUCAGGUCAUGAUCUCACAGUCUGUGGGUUCGAGCCCCGUGUCGGGCU